ACGGGUGCGUAACGCGUGGGAAUCUGCCCUUAGGUUCGGAAUAACAGCUGGAAACGGCUGCUAAUACCGGAUGAUAUCGCGAGAUCAAAGAUUUAUCGCCUGAGGAUGAGCCCGCGUUGGAUUAGGUAGUUGGUGGGGUAAAGGCCUACCAAGCCGACGAUCCAUAGCUGGUCUGAGAGGAUGAUCAGCCACACUGGGACUGAGACACGGCCCAGACUCCUACGGGAGGCAGCAGUGGGGAAUAUUGGACAAUGGGCGCGAGCCUGAUCCAGCAAUGCCGCGUGAGUGAUGAAGGCCCUAGGGUUGUAAAGCUCUUUUACCCGGGAAGAUAAUGACUGUACCGGGAGAAUAAGCCCCGGCUAACUCCGUGCCAGCAGCCGCGGUAAUACGGAGGGGGCUAGCGUUGUUCGGAAUUACUGGGCGUAAAGCGCACGUAGGCGGCUUUGUAAGUCAGAGGUGAAAGCCUGGAGCUCAACUCCAGAACUGCCUUUGAGACUGCAUCGCUUGAAUCCAGGAGAGGUCAGUGGAAUUCCGAGUGUAGAGGUGAAAUUCGUAGA
rnacentral:rRNA from 1 species